GGAGCAAGCUUGAAGAUUUCACCAGCUUGCCAUACGUAAAGACUUGUUAUUCCUAGGUAGCAGGGCUAUGGUGAGAAGAAGACCAGAAAGAGCAUGUGAGUUCUGCUCUUCACUUCCUGCCUCUGUAGUAGGUCUGUUACAUUUCCCAGAAUGUUCACAGCAACGCCGGAUCCUUAAUCACUGAGUGAAGCCAGGGGUAGAAUCUGCAUCCUUAUGGAUACUAGUCAGGUUUGUUUCCACCGCACCAUGACAGGAAACUCCAUGAGCUGCUAACUUGGUGAUAGUUUGUUACAAAGCAAUAGAUGACUGAUACAGUGGUGAUUAAUAACAUAGGGUGGGAGAAGCCCAGGAAAGCACUUAGCGAAUGUUUGGAACAAGGAACAAUGUUUUGGUAGAUAGCAAAGGGAGCAGAAUGUUGCAAGCAGGGAGAACAGCAAAUACAAGUGCUUGGAGGUACAAAGCUGCCUGGUGUGCUCUAGGAUCUCCAAGCAUUUAGUAUUGCUAGAUUGCAAAAUGUCAAGUACACCCGGGGCAAGGGAUGAAGCCAAGGAGUCAGGAAAGCUAGACCAUAGUUCUCAAAAUGGAAUUAGAAUCAACCAGAAAGCUUCCAAAAUACUGAUGCCUAUUUCCUACCUCCAGAGAUUCUGUUAUAAUAAGUGUGAGUUGCUGUGUUGACACAGUGAUUUUAAAAAAUUCUUCAGGUGGCAGGAGAAGGACUAGAGUGAAACAAAUGGGGGAUUUACUUUGGCUACAAAAUUUAACGGGAUACCAAAAACCCCAGUCAUCAAAAUAAGUGGUACAUAGGAGUUCCUAUUGUGGCUCAGCAGGUUAAGAACAUCACUAGUAUCCAUGAGGAUGUGGGUUCAAUCCCUGGCCCUGCUCAGUGGGUUAAGGCUCUGGCAUUGCCACAAGCUGGGGUGUAGGACAGCAGCUGCAGCUCUGAUUUGACCCCUAGCCUGGGAACCUCUAUAUGCAUCAAGUGCAGCCCUAAAAAGGAAAAAAAUGUGAAAAAAAAAACAUGUGAGUAAGACAGCUGAACACAUACAAGAAGUAAUCUGUGAAUGCAAUAGUUUAAAAAAUAAAAAAUAAUGCAAAAACUCCAUGAGCAAAAUAUAAAACUUUUCAACAAGGGCAGAAUCCUUAGUUGGUUCUAAUGGGCAGCCAACCUUCAGAAUCACCGCUCCAGACUCCGAAGGAACGUGUGUACCUCCCUGUAGAUUCGUACGGGUCAAAGCAACUAGACUUGGGCCUCAAGAAACAGAGGGACAUGGUCAGACCAGGAGGUUAAAAUCAGCAGCAGUGAAGGUAUUUACACCAAAGAAAUUGGCAACUGCUACAAAUCAUAGGUGGUUUUUGUUUUUUGUUUUGUUUUGUUUUGUUCUGCUUUGUUUCUUGGUAGAGUCAGUUGUACACCCACAGCCAAGAGGCUUGUUUAUGAGCACCAGAUAGGAUUUGGUGAUGGGUUAGACAUGGAGGGUAGAGGGAGAGAAGGACGAAAAUGACCCACAAGAUAACUGUAUGGGGCCAGCCACUAACUUAUGAACUCUAAGGAGAGAGAACUGGCCCCAGAUCAGUUGUUAGUUGCAAAGGGCAGUAUGCAGGGAAGCAUCUGAGGUCACCACUCGUCUCAAGCUCAGCGGCCAGAAGGACUAUUUCUGUGGUGCCUUUUAUUACAGUUCAAAGCACUUCUGAAGAGCCACAGGCCCUGAAAGAUUUAGGGUAUGCUAGAGGAUGUUGAGAGACAAGCUGACUAGGAGGAAAUUCAAGCCUCCUUUCUCUCAUGUUUUGGUCUGUGAUUUUGUGUCUGGCGAGGAAGCGUGAACCCCACUAGUAUAAAGCUGGUGUUCACAGGGGUGCCAAGAAACAAGUGCAUGAUUAAUAAUAUCUGGUUGACCAGGAAUUAGUCUGGAAGUGUUGAUUCUAGAGGCUGGCCUGACAAGACGUUGUUGGCUAACUUGGACAUUUUAUUAACCCUCUUGAGUGUCUCAUUUUCUCUAUCUGUGAGAUGGACUUACUCCAUCUUAUGGUGUGAUUGUGAAAAUAAAAUGAGAUAAUAGCUGUUAAGGUUCCACUAAAAAUUUAAAGGAACUCUUCAAAUAUAGUAGACGAUCCCAUAAUUAUGAAAAUCAUCAUUAUGCUAAUAACAUUCUGCUGACCGAUCACCUAAUAACUUUCAAAGACCUGGAUGGACUACAGUGAAGUCACAGAAUCCAAGCUCCUAGAAGGAUUUGGAAAGCUAUUUAAGUUUAAAUUCUGUGGAUGGCAACAGACUACCAUUUUGGUAUAUUUUUCACAUCCUACUUCCUUUCUUUGGAAUUUAAGAAACUAUUGCUUUGCCUCAAAGAGAGGUAAUUUACUUGGUUUCAUGAUAAGAAAUUUCAGCUUAGCUUGCCUACUUGCAUUUGAGUUCAAAGUUUUUCUAGAUAGAUUAUCAUUUAAACUGGAGGGAAACAAUCUUCCUUAACUAGAGCAUGGGCCAUGACCUUGCCUACAUGAUGGGCAGCUAAUCCACUUAGAACCAGUGACUCGCUUUGUAUAAUUUAUAAGACCCCAUGAAAAGACAGGCCUCCAUAGAUUAAUAUUUCAGCUGUCUUCCCUUCCAUUUCAUCCUCUGGAUGUGGCAGCAACAAUCACAUGAAUCAUUCCUGAACUGAGUCGAUAUCAAACAUCCGGAGCUUCAUCUGCAUUCGAUGAAGGUUCAGCUCAUUCAAGGGAAGUUCCUAUAGGAUUUCAAAUACAUGGAUGAUUUACCUUGGACACCUCUUACCCCAUCCUGGCUGCGAUGAUUUUAAAAAGAAAAAAAGAAAAAA
ensembl:lncRNA